rnacentral:rRNA from 1 species
UACCAGCAGUCCGAGUUGCAACCAACAUUAUUGGGUCUAAAACAUCCGUAGCUUGUCUGCUAAGUUUCUUGUGAAAUCCUAUGUCUCAAGUAUGGGGCUUGCAAGAAAUACUGGCAGACUUGGAACCGGUAGAUGUGGGGAGUACGCUCAAGGUAACGGUUAAAUGUGUUAAUCUUGGGUGGACUAACAAUUGGCGAAGGCACCCUGCAAGGACGGAUUUGACAGUGAGGGAUGAAGGCCAGGGGCGCAAAACGGAUUAGAUACCCGCGUA